AGGAUCAACGCUGGCGGCGUGCCUAACACAUGCAAGUCGAACGAGAAAGUGGUAGCAAUACCAUGAGUAAAGUGGCGCACGGGUGAGUAACACGUGACUAACCUACCCUGGAGUGGGGGAUAACUGAGGGAAACCUUAGCUAAUACCGCAUAACACCUACGGGUCAAAGGAGCAAUUCGCUUCAGGAGGGGUCGCGGCAGAUUAGCUAGUUGGCGGGGUAAUGGCCCACCAAGGCAGUGAUCUGUA
rnacentral:rRNA from 1 species